rnacentral:rRNA from 1 species
GAUGAACGCUGGCGGCGUGCCUAACACAUGCAAGUCGAACGGAGUCCAGCCUUUAAGACCUUCGGGUCAAAGAGGGGAAGACUGAGUGGCGGACGGGUGAGUAACAUGUGGGCAACCUGGCUCAUAGAGGGGGAUAACAGAGAGAAAUUUCUGCUAAUACCGCAUAAGCACACACUGCCGCAUGGCAGGGGGUGAAAAGAGAAUCGCUAUGAGAUGGACCCGCGUCUGAUUAGCCAGUUAGCAGGGUAAGAGCCUACCAAAGCGACGAUCAGUAGCCGAUCUGAGAGGAUGAACGGCCACAUUGGGACUGAGACACGGCCCAAACUCCUACGGGAGGCAGCAGUGGGGGAUAUUGCACAAUGGGGGGAACCCUGAUGCAGCGACGCCGCGUGAGUGAAGAAGUAUUUCGGUAUGUAAAGCUCUAUCAGCAGGGAAGAUAAUGACAGUACCUGAAUAAGAAGCCCCGGCUAACUACGUG